CUGUUAGAAACCGCUAUAACAGUAGCGCCCUCCAGAAGGGAGGCAACUGCCAUGGGGCGUGCUGAUAUGCCGGUCACGCAUGCACGUCCGUAUAAUGUAUCACGUGAACAGAUGUACAUGUUGUGAAUGCCGGCUGUGCUAUGCAUAGCACAUAUACACGUGAAGUAUUUCCCCUGCCGUGAUGCAGCUAGUGUAGACAGUGGUGUAGGUGCGGCGGCGCGAGAGGUUGUGCGGUGACUGACGCUAUCAACAGACAUACCACACGGGUGCAACUGUAUAUCUCGUCGAGCCUGAUAACAAGAAUCUGAACUCUACAACAAUGAAGAUCUUAUGUCUCGAACGGGACAAUACAACGUUCCAGUCACUUGACGACGGGGCAGGUAACUCGUACCGAUCAAGCUUCGAGUUGUUCCCCUUUCACGAAGGAAAAGACCAUGCGGUUUACAAGGGCAUGCUCAACGGGACAGGCCCAAAACGUGGGAUGUUCUGUGCUGUGAAGGCGUGUGUCACCCACACAGGCAGGGAGGCGGACUGGUGGAGCGUCGUGGAGGCGUCGAGGACAGGACGACAGAUGGCGACACUCUUCAACCAGGUUCUCAAACGCCAAGUCGUACGUUUUACACUGCCCCUCGUCGCUCAAAUGAACAAAGUGUCCGACUUCAGCGGAGUAAUGAAAUUAUUCCAGCCGCACGAGAAGAAACUGAAAUUGAAAGAAUAUGUACUUCUGGAAGAUUUCAUUGAGGGAACGUUUAAAAGAUUCAGUUCUGCCAGCGGUGCUUCUACUGACGUGGGGGAAGCGGAUAUGACGCAAGCAUUCUCUCACUUCACGUGGCACCAGUCGAGAGAGCUCGUGAUUUGCGGGCUUCAAGGUGUUAGUAAUGGCAACGCCUAUCAUUUCACUUCCCCAACCAUCCAUUCAUUAUCCGGUCGAUUUGGCCAUAAUGAUUGUCGAUUUCCUGGAAUUUCAGAAUUCUUCUCUCAUCAUAUUUGUAACAAUAUCUGCUGCCACUGGGACGCCCCCUUUAAACAAGUACCGUGUCAUCCACAACCGUUCCCGAACACCUACCCGCCACAGUCUCUGCUCCCGACAGCACCCUUAUAUAAUACGUGUUAAAGGGGCUCUUCGAGGGAGUACAUGUAUUAUGGGUAAUAUGUGAAUUACAUACUCGUUCUUGAUUCAAACACAUAGGACAAGGAGUUAAUGGUUUACUUUUUGAGACUAUAUCUAUAAAUGAGUUACGAACAGAAUGCAGUGUUUGAAACUGGAAGUAAGUUAUACGUACUCGAAUAUCCCCUUCAGGGAAAGAACCGUUUGUGUUGAUGCACGCAUGGCGCUGUGUUCGUGACUACGUGUGUUAUUACACAUUAUACACGUUUUGGAAACUGGAAGCAUUUCAUAGAUACUCCUCGAAGACCCCCUUUAUGGAAAGAGCGAUUUAUAUUGAUGCAUGGCGCUAUGUUUAUACUUAUGUUACCAGACAUAAUACACGUUUUGAAAACUGUCAGUAUUUUAUAGACACUCCUCGAAUGCUUUCUUUAAAGAAAGGGUUGUUUGCAUUCACGCAUGCAUGGCGCUACAGUGAUAAUUGUGUUUUUUGACAGUACACCCCUUUUUAGAAAUGGAAGAAUUUUAUAUAUUCUCGAAGACCCACUUUAAGGAAUAAGCAUUUAUACUGAUGCGUGAAUGACCCUGUAUUUAUACAUUACUUGUCAGAGAUUAUACAAUAUUUAUAACUGGAAGUAUUUAUUGAUACUCGAAGACUUUCUAUAAAAGGAAGAUUUGUCCAUGUAUCGAUGUAUUGUAUCGAUGCGUUCAUGACGUCACGUUGGUAUUAGUUAUUUAUUCAUAUUUAUAUGUUGAUGUUAUUUACUGUUAUAAAUGUCAAGCUCCAAAUGUCAAACGGAAGCAUAUUUGCUUCACAUGUUUAUAUCAGGUAUGCUUUUAUAUAUAUUCUACAUUGUUGCGGCAACUAUAGAUGCAGGAAUUCCUUAUAUAGUGAAACCUCGUUAUUCCGGACUCCCAUCGUCCAAACGAUUGCUGGAACUACAUGUAUAAAAAAGCCAUUAUAAUCGACGCCCAUGAUUCGUUAAUCCAGACAUUUGGUAAUUCGGACGAUUUCACUGGGAACGGAGCUGACCGGAUUAAUGGGGUUUAACUAUAUGUAAUUGAUAGUGUAAGCGUGUGUUUAACAGUUGUCGCUAAUGCAGUAUAUGUAUUGUGAUAUAAGAGAGAGAUAUAUGCCUUAACGGUUACGUGUGUUUCAAAACUAGUUUAGUUUUAUCAAUCCCAGUGACAAACGUGUUAACGCUGUUGAAUUAAUUAUUAGACAUUAAGGCAUUAGUUAAUUAAGUCGAAAUCGAGAGCCGGAGCCCUUGCGAUUUAAGGCUAGUUGAGUUUGAACAAUUAAGUUUUAUAGUUAUAGAAUUACAUCACAUUAUUAUAUCGUUUUUCAACUGUUUACAAUGGCGAUGGUUCAAGCUGAAUGAAUGUGCUCAUGGUAUACUUUCACGUCUUAUUUUCAUAUCGUUUGUACAAUCUUCAAAUUUUGUUUACGUUUAGUUAAUUAUUGUUUUUUUUAUUACCUAUGGCAUUUGGCUGUUGAUCAUGUUCAUUCUUAUUUUCUUAGAUUUUUUUAACAUUUUCAAACUUCACGUUUUUAUAUGUUUGAGUGUUAUACAAUAUUUUCACAGUUUGGGUCCAAUAUUUUAUAUCAUAUAUUUACACCAUGUUUUCUCAUAAAUACAUAUGUCAUCCACGACCGAGUUUUGUUCGAAAUGUUGAAGUAUUAAAAUCAUUGUAAUUAAUUAGAAAAUAAUAUACGCAAAUCAAAAUGAAGUUACGAAUAUGUAUAACCCAUAUUAUUUUAUCGUUUUCGUGCAAUAAUUUAUUGUUUUGCUUUUCUCUUUGUUAAUGAGUUAUAUUUCUGUGUGUUAUAUUAUUCUAUAUAUUUAUUCGAGAAUCCCUUAUUUUAUUCUUCACCAGAGAAGAGACUGACAUUUAUUACCAGAAAUAAGUUAUCUUAUUUAAAAAUAUAUAUAUCUAAGAUAAUAUAACAAUAAUAUCUAAAUGGAUCCCAGAACAGUCCUUUCUUUCUAUAGCUUAGGCAAUCUAGACUUGCCAAAUCAUCCUUGACUUAAGUUAAGAUUCCUUUUUUGGUUUAUUCUCUAGGGUCUGGAUAAGAGCUGGGACCGGAAUCAUAUAUUUCAUAAUUUGGGUCCAAAUAAAUUAUAGGGAUAAUCUCAAUGUGUUGUUUUCAUGUUUUAUGUUUACAUGUUGUUUAUUGUUGAAGAUGCGGAAGACCUGACAUCCUAACAUUAUGUUCUAAUCGCUAAUCGUACUGGCAAAGGUAUUAAAUCUCAAAAUUGGGCGACCAUAUGUACUAUCAAAAGCGUAUGUUCCUGGCCGAUCUGUCUGAGGGCGUGAUGAACAAGAUUGCAGGCGUAGACACAUGCCUACAGAAGGUGCUAAUUAGAUCAUCCUGCCUUAUAAUCACCUUAGAUUUUAUAUAGUUCAGAAUGUUUUUCGUUUUUGUGAAACUAUUUAUUCGUUUACACCUUUUAUUAUCAUGCAUGUUUGUACAUGAAAUAUCACGUAUGUAAUAAAAUAUGUCACACGU
rnacentral:lncRNA from 1 species